rnacentral:rRNA from 1 species
CUACGGGAGGCAUCAGUCACGGAAACUUUACAAUGCGCGAAAGCGUGAUAAGGGUAUCCCAAGUGCUUUGCUUAUUGUAAGGCUUUUGCCAAGUGUAAAGAGCUUGGCGAAUAAGUGGUGGGUAAGGCUGGUGCCAGCCGCCGCGGUAACACCAGCGCCACAAGUGGUAACCACGUUUAUUGGGCCUAAAGCGUUCGUAGCCGGUUUGAUAAGUUUCUUGUGAAAUUGUUUGGCCUAACCAAACAACGUGCAAGAAAUACUGUCUAACUUGGGACCGGGAGGAGUUAGAGGUAUUCCAUGGGGAGCGGUAAAAUGCUAUAAUCCUUGGAGGACCACCAAUGGCGAAGGCUUCUAACUAGAACGGAUCCGACGGUCAGGAACGAAGGCUAGGGGAGCAAAACGGAUUAGAUACCCGUGUAGUC